rnacentral:rRNA from 1 species
UCUCCUGGAAACGGGUGGUAAUGCCGGAUGUUCCACAUGAGCGCAUGCGAGUGUGGGAAAGGCUUUUUGCGGCAUGGGAUGGGGUCGCGUCCUAUCAGCUUGUUGGUGGGGUAACGGCCUACCAAGGCGUUGACGGGUAGCCGGCCUGAGAGGGCGACCGGCCACAUUGGGACUGAGAUACGGCCCAGACUCCUACGGGAGGCAGCAGUGGGGAAUAUUGCACAAUGGGCGCAAGCCUGAUGCAGCGACGCCGCGUGCGGGAUGGAGGCCUUCGGGUUGUAAACCGCUUUUGUUCAAGGGCAAGGCACGGUUUCGGCCGUGUUGAGUGGAUUGUUCGAAUAAGCACCGGCUAACUACGUGCCAGCAGCCGCGGUAAUACGUAGGGUGCAAGCGUUAUCCGGAUUUAUGGGGCGUAAAGGCUCGUAGGCGGUUCGUCGCGUCCGGUGGUGAAAGUUCCAUCGCCUUUAACGGUUGGAUUCCGCGGCCGGGUAACGGGGGCCUUUAGAUGUGCGGUUAGGGGAAAACUUGAAAUUUCUCCGGUGUAACGGUGGAAUGUGUAAUAUAUCGGGAGAAACCCA